GGACAAGUCUUCGUCUCCCUCGUCGUCGCCACUGCUCCCCAAUUGUUCCUCCUCGUCCUCCUCCUCCUCUUCAUCUGAAGAAGAAUUGACCUCGUAGUCUUGCUCAAUCUCGGAUACGUCCACCAUUUCAACUGAAUCCAGAAUAUUCCCAGUCAGCACGUGUGUAGUUGAGAGAGAGAGGUCUGAAAAAUGGAUAAGUCGACAAAGGACAAGAGUUGUAUGCCGUGUCGCCUUGUUGGAGGUGCAGGGAUGUCGGGGGCAGGAAUUUAUGUGGCGUCACAAGUCUCUCGCCAAAAGAACCUUCCGGGAAAAGUCGUAGUCUCACUUUUUGCUGGGGGACUAAUCUACACAGGAGUGGCCAGACUUCUGGACUUGCCUCCCUUUGGGGAUGGAGGUGACGCUACUCUUACUAAAACAUGAGACAUCUAAUCAUCAAAGUAAUUGUGUUUGUAUGUGGCUACAGAUUUUGCGUGAUUUAUUCGAUUGUGUGAAUUGUGUACAUGAUGGUAAUAAAGAGAAUUUGAACUGAA